UCUCCGUAGGUGAACCUGCGGAGGGAUCAUUAACACGUUUUUAACAAAACAAAACUAAUUAUGCCGAUAAUUCAAAUCGAUUUCAAUUUUUUUAUUUUGGUUUGAGUUAUUCGGUCUGUGAAUUUAUCAAUGAAUGGGAUUUAGUUCUUGCAGAAAGGAGUAUUCCAUCUGUUAUAACUAGAUUUUCAUUCAAUAUCCAAUUAUUUUUUAUUACAAGCCCAAGUAACAAAAAACCAAAUUGAACAGCUCGGGCUAAUAAUAAUAGUAAUAAUAUCUAGUAUUAUGACCCUACAACUGUACUAAUCCUUUUUUUUUAAUUUGUUUGUUACUUUCUUUUACCAUUGGACUCUUUUCUGAGUCUUUUGGUAGUUUGAUAUAUCAACAAAUUAAUAAUAAAAACAAAUACUAAGAACAACUCUUAGCAAUGGAUAUCUUGGUUCUC
rnacentral:misc_RNA from 1 species